GGUCCUGUAGCUCAGUGGUUAGAGCGAUGGUCUUAUGAGCCAUAGGCCGUGGCUUCGACCCCCGCCGGGACUA
rnacentral:tRNA from 1 species